rnacentral:rRNA from 1 species
GCAUAUCAAUAAGCGGAGGAAAAGAAACCAACAGGGAUUGCCCCAGUAACGGCGAGUGAAGCGGCAAAAGCUCAAAUUUGAAAUCUGGCUCCUCUGGGGUCCGAGUUGUAAUUUGUAGAGGAUGCUUCGGGUGUGGCCACGGCCUAAGUUCCUUGGAACAGGACGUCAUAGAGGGUGAGAAUCCCGUCUUGGGCGGUUGGCCCACGCCCGUGUGAAGCUCCUUCGACGAGUCGAGUUGUUUGGGAAUGCAGCUCUAAGCGGGUGGUAAAUUUCAUCUAAAGCUAAAUAUUGGCCGGAGACCGAUAGCGCACAAGUAGAGUGAUCGAAAGGUUAAAAGCACCUUGAAAAGGGAGUUAAACAGCACGUGAAAUUGUUGAAAGGGAAGCGCUUGCGGCCAGACUCGGGCGCGAGGUUCAGCGGGUGCGUGUCACCCGUGCACUCCUCGCCGCCCGGGCCAGCAUCAGUUCUGACGGCCGGUCAAAGGCCCCCGGAAUGUGUCGUCUCUAGGGACGUCUUAUAGCCGGGGGUGCAAUGCGGCCCGUCGGGACUGAGGAACGCGCUUCGGCUCGGAUGCUGGCGUAAUGGCCGUAAGCGGCCCGUCUUGAAACACGGACCAAGGAGUCUAACAUCCACGCGAGUGUUCGGGUGUCAAACCCGUGCGCGCAGUGAAAGCGAACGGAGGUGGGAGCCUUAGGGCGCACCAUCGACCGAUCCUGAAGUCUUCGGAUGGAUUUGAGUAGGAGCGUGGCCGUUGGGACCCGAAAGAUGGUGAACUAUGCCUGAAUAGGGGGAAGCCAGAGGAAACUCUGGUGGAGGCUCGCAGCGGUUCUGACGUGCAAAUCGAUCGUCAAAUUUGGGCAUAGGGGCGAAAGACUAAUCGAACCAUCUAGUAGCUGGUUCCUGCG